AAAAUAUUGAUUUUUAAAGUAAAAAAUCGGAAUGUAAUAAAAAUAUAAAUAUAUAUACACACAGUAUAACAAUUACAUAUGAAAUAAUUAAACCCGUACGUUCUCUGGAUAUAAAGAAGACAUAUGUAGAAAUUAGAUCGACAUAAUUUCCAAAUAUAUAUAAUGAAUGCAAUUAUGAUUAAUGCAUUAAUGUAUGUAUCUAUCUAUAUUCUUAUAAUUGAAUCGCACCGAUCGCAGUCAGAUAAUAUAAUACAUAUACAUAACAUAACGGGACGUCCAAAGUACAUCCUUUGAACAUCCUGCGGAUGGCCGAAAUACAGAAACAUAAACAGGACAUUUCAGGACAUAAAUCGGCUGUUCGAAGGACGUCCAUGUGUUGUGUGGGAUACUAUGUGACACUUUAUAGUAUGUACUUAAUAAAAUUUUGCAAGAGAUCUGUACGAGAUUUUUAAAUAGACUACUUCAUAAUUUCAAGCUUUUCUUCUAAAAAAUUAAUGUUUUAAUUAAAUUUAUAUUUACACAAAUGCUGUUUCAGAAACACGUUAUAUAAAGUAUUAUGAUAGUCUAAAAAAAUAUGACUCACCUCAGAUUGAUGUGCACACAAUGUACAGGACACAAAAGUGUCACUCUAACCUGCGAACCGAAAUUUUAAUUGACAACUGUUCAAAUUAGGAAUAGAUAAAAAUAUUACGUAAAGAAACGCAAUCUUCAUUCUUAACCUCCAAUAUCGAUGAAAUAUAAUUUAUCUUUCCUUUUGGUCUCUGGUCUGGAUUAGUCUUCGCACGAAAUCACAAUUUCACGUUACCGUUAAGCGGGAAACACACACUGUGCUUAUCCUUUAAUCGGAUUUAAUAACAUCCAUAGUUACAAUUGGUACUGACCAAUCAUAGUUAUUUCAUUCUUCGGGGAAACUUGUGAUUGGCUAGUUUAACGUACCUAAGAAUGACCGUGUAAUCCAUGAUGAUGGCCACACUGGCCACAGUCGUGAUUGCCGAUAAUAUGACAGGUUAUCUAACCUCAAAAGUCAUCAACAACAAUAUCUCGCUUUGCGAAACAGAGCGACACUUUUCCUGCUACAUUCGUCCGUUUCGUAUAAAAACGCGUCGAAUCAGCCUGAAUUCAUCAAUAUCGAAGUGUUGUUGUGUUUAAUUAAUCUAUCAUCUACUACUUGCACCGCCAUUCGAUCCCAACACCUGAGCAGUAUCCUUCACGCAUUUUGUUUAUGAUGGGAGUACACAUACGAGUGAUAGCAUUCAAUUCAAUAUCAAUAUUAUAACUUAGCGAGCUAUAAGAUGACUUCUAUAUAUUUUGAAUUUUGUUGCAGCGACACUGGAAAGUUGAUCUUCAAGCCCACACAACCCCCUCAUCCCCAUGAGAUUUAGAGUAUUCGCAACCUCUUGAUAUUUUAAAAACUUUGAGUUCUACAAAAGAAUUUCGAGGAUGGAGGUAACGAGAAAUUGAAGACACACCUAAUAGAACAGAUGUAUGAAAAUCUUGGAAUGGUAAUGGUUUUUACAAUGGUCAGUGCAGCUCAAGAAUGGUUGAACGUACAGUUGGACAAGAUAAACCUGAGGAGAGAAGAGACUGCGUCACAAAAACCGAAGGAGGGAAAGGAUGCAGAAGGGGUGAUGCUGUAAAAGUAGAAUGAGACAGUUUGGUCCAAAACCUAGACGAUGAUGAGGACGAUCCAGACGAUGAUGAGGAUGACCCAGACUAUGAUUCAAAUACCUCGGAUGAUAGUGCCUAAACAAGCUUGAUUCAGUAGCCAUCAAAGUGAUACGUGGAACAAAUUAAAUUUAAGGAAUUUACUGAAUUAUUACAAAGG